AGUGAACGCUGGCGGUAGGCCUAACACAUGCAAGUCGAACGGCAGCACAGUAAGAGCUUGCUCUUACGGGUGGCGAGUGGCGGACGGGUGAGGAAUACAUCGGAAUCUACUUUUUCGUGGGGGAUAACGUAGGGAAACUUACGCUAAUACCGCAUACGACCUACGGGUGAAAGCAGGGGAUCUUCGGACCUUGCGCGAUUGAAUGAGCCGCUGUCGGAUUAGCUAGUUGGCGGGGUAAAGGCCCACCAAGGCGACGAUCCGUAGCUGGUCUGAGAGGAUGAUCAGCCACACUGGAACUGAGACACGGUCCAGACUCCUACGGGAGGCAGCAGUGGGGAAUAUUGGACAAAGGGCGCAAGCCUGAUCCAGCCCUACCGCGUGGGUGAAGAAGGCCUUCGGGUUGUAAAGCCCUUUUGUUGGGAAAGAAAAGCAGCAGGUUAAUACCCUGCUGUUCUGACGGUACCCAAAGAAUAAGCACCGGCUAACUUCGUG
rnacentral:rRNA from 1 species